rnacentral:rRNA from 1 species
AGAGCGAACGCUGGCGGCAGGCCUAAUACAUGCAAGUCGAACGCACCUUCGGGUGAGUGGCGGACGGGUGAGUAACACGUGGGAACGUGCCUUUUGGUUCGGAAUAAUCCGGGGAAACCUGGCCUAAUACCGGAUGUGCCCUUCGGGGGAAAGAUUUAUCGCCAUUAGAGCGGCCCGCGUCUGAUUAGCUAGUUGGUGAGGUAACGGCCCACCAAGGCGACGAUCAGUAGCUGGUCUGAGAGGAUGAUCAGCCACACUGGGACUGAGACACGGCCCAGACUCCUACGGGAGGCAGCAGUAGGGAAUCUUGCGCAAUGGGCGAAAGCCUGACGCAGCCAUGCCGCGUGAAUGAUGAAGGUCUUAGGAUUGUAAAAUUCUUCAGCGGGAAGAUAAUGACUGUACCCGCAGAAGAAGCUCCGGCUAACUUCGCGCCAGCAGCCGC